rnacentral:lncRNA from 1 species
AACCUGAAAGUAGGCUUUGAUGCGCCCAAGGUCAACUGCUACCGACUCUUGCACGUCCCGGUCGAUGUUGUUUAGCUCUUCACUCCCAAACGCCCCGAACUGGCCUCGCCGCCGCGACUAGUACCUAGUGCAAGUUUUCCUGAAGCUUAUCGAAACGUGUAGUUCUGUUGCGUCCUGUAGAAAGUCAGAACGUGUAGUCGCCGGAAGUACUAUAGCUUGCCGGAAAAAUAAGGCGCCUGUCCAAGAAAACAGAACACACCCACAAAAAGAAGAAGAGAGAAUAGGAAGAAAAUAGCAGGGGUCACCGGAAAAAUCGCCGACGAAAAGCAAGAAUUCAAAAAACCUAGAAUAUGCUGAAAUAAAGAAAUCUUUUCCUAGAAUUCCUUAUAUAUUCAAAGAUUCCUUUUAAAUUGAAUAUGCUGAAACCUUUAUAACAAGCUUAUAAAUGUCAAAAACUUUAAAGUAAAUCGCCAAAUCUGGAAGCAGUAGCAUAAAAAGUGAC